CGUGUAGGCGGUUUUGCAAGCCUGGCGUGAAAGGCUUCGGCUCAACCGGAGGAUGGCGCUGGGAACUGCGAGACUUGAGUUCUGGAGGGGGGAGCUGGAAUUCCUGGUGUAGGGGUGAAAUCUGUAGGGAUCAGGAAGAACACCGGUGGCGAAGGCGAGCUCCUGGACAGAGACUGACGCUGAGGCGCGAAAGCGUGGGGAGCGAACA
rnacentral:rRNA from 1 species